AUACGGGGGGUGCAAGCGUUGUCCGGAAUUACUGGGCGUAAAGGGCGUGUAGGCGGCCUGGUCAGUCAGAUGUGAAAGCCCACGGCUUAACCGUGGAACUGCAUUUGAAACUGCCAGGCUUGAGUGUGAGAUGGGGUAGUGGAAUUCCCAGUGUAGCGGUGAAAUGCGUAGAUAUUGGGAAGAACACCAGUAGCGAAGGCGGCUACCUGGCUCACAACUGACGCUAAUGCGCGAAAGCAUGGGGAGCAAACAGGAUUAGAAACCCCAGUAGUCC
rnacentral:rRNA from 1 species